rnacentral:misc_RNA from 1 species
AACGCAUAUUGCACUCUUUGGUAUUCCGAAGAGUAUGCCUGUUUCAGUAUCAUGAAAACCUCACAAAAUCUCUUUGGCUGUAAAAAGGUCAAAGUAAGAAAUUGUGGAUUUGAGCUUUUGCAACAAAAUUUUUUGAUGCAAGCUUUAAAUGAAUUUCUUGAUGGCUUAUGUGCUUUCGAAAUUUAGCUUUAUAGUUUUGGCUCUAAGUCAAAUCUUUAGCUUAUUUCAAGCCAAUUACUGUCUUGAGAACUUACGAACAAAUUUCAACAAUUUGAUCUGAAAUCAGGUAGGACUACCCGCUGAACUUAA